GACAGAGGCCUCAAGCGUUAGGCGGAAUCACUGGGCUUAAAGCGUGUGUAGGCGGACUUCUAAGUGCCUUGUGAAAUCCCACGGCUCAACCGUGGAACUGCUGGGCAUACUGGGAGUCUUGGGCCAUUCAGGGGCAACUGGAACAAGCGGUGGAGCGGUGAAAUGCGUAGAUAUCAGGAGGAACACCGAUGGCGAAGGCAGGUCACUGGGCCGCAACUGACGCUGAGGAGCGAAAGCAUGGGGAGCGAACAGG
rnacentral:rRNA from 1 species